UAGGGAAUCUUCCACAAUGGGCGGAAGCCUGAUGGAGCAACGCCGCGUGUGUGAUGAAGGGUUUCGGCUCGUAAAACACUGUUGUAAGAGAAGAAUGACAUUGAGAGUAACUGUUCAAUGUGUGACGGUAUCUAACCAGAAAGUCACGGCUAACUACGUGUCAG
rnacentral:rRNA from 1 species